AUGGUUCUCCACAUGGGCCUCCCACCUGUCCUCACGUUCCGGAUCAAACCGAACGAGCGCGUGGUUGUGAUGGGAGCAAGACCAAGGCAUAGCAGGAAACCACGUCUUGACUCACACAUCCUGCGAUGCUCCCCAACAACACCCAACAUGCAGGAGGCCACGUGGGCUAGUCCCUCUGUCAGGCCCAAAGUGUCUCUGCUCCCCCUGUCCUCUGAGCAGUUCUCCGGGGGCUCGGCCACACUGGCCUGCCUGCUGAGUGGCUACUCCCCCCAGGGGGCGAUGGUGAGCUGGGAGGUGGACGGAGCGGAGGGGAAGGAGGGAGCCCUGACCACCACAGAAAAAGAGAAGGGUGGCCGCUASYGCACCCRGACCCUGAGCAAGUGCUUUGUGCGUGAAGCUGCUCAGUCUUGUGUGAAGGAGGUUUUUGUAUGGCGACUUCACCAGCAUGAAUCACUGUGGUGGACUUUUGGAAGCGGCACAAAACUUGUGCUGAAAACUGGUCCCUCUAUCAGGCCCACAGUGUCUCUGCUCCCCCCGGCCUCUGAGCAGCUCUCUGGGGGCUSGGCCACACUGGCCUGCCUGAUGAGUGGCUACUCCCCCCAGGGGGCGAUGGUGAGCUGGGAGGUGGACGAGGCYGAGGUGAAGGACGGGGUCCUGACCACCACAGAAGAAGAGAAGGGUGGACGCUACAGCCGCAGCAGCACCCUGACCCUGAGCAAGGCACGCUGGGAAGAGGGAGAGGUGUACACCUGCAGGGUCGCUCAUGAUGACACCAGUGAUUUGGCAACCUUCCGGAAAAGUCAAUGUAAUGUCUAGAGUCAGGAGAAGCCAUUGUAGGGCGCUAGAGAGUCCCCACAUGGUGCUAGUUCUGGAAACAUUAGUGUUUUACACCUGAAUGUUACAGUAUAAUAGUGAAUAAUAUGAGUAGAGCUGUGUGCUAAAUUAAGUAUUUUGAGAUUAAGUUGUACUUGCCCUUGAUUUCAAAUAAAGCUUAUUUUGAUUGAAAAAUAA